rnacentral:rRNA from 1 species
GACGAACGCUGGCGGCGUGCCUAACACAUGCAAGUCGAGCGGGGUUGAAGCGAGGGGUAACUCGAACUUCUACCUAGCGGCGGACGGGUGAGUAACGCGUGGGCAACCUGCCUCAAGGAUCGGGAUAACAGCUCGAAAGGGCUGCUAAUACCGGAUAUGCCUAUGGCCUCGCAUGGGGCUGUGGGCAAAGGGGAAACCCGCCUUGAGAUGGGCCCGCGUCCCAUCAGCUAGUUGGUGAGGUGAAGGCUCACCAAGGCGACGACGGGUAGCCGGCCUGAGAGGGUGACCGGCCACACUGGGACUGAGACACGGCCCAGACUCCUACGGGGGGCAGCAGUGGGGGAUCUUGCACAAUGGGCGAAAGCCUGAUGCAGCGACGCCGCGUGAGCGAAGAAGGCCUUCGGUUGUAAAGCUCUGUCUGGAGGGACGAAGAAAGUAGACGGUACCUCCGGAGGAAGCCACGGCUAACUACGUGCCAGCAGCCGCGGUAAACGUCGACGUCG